UGAAGAGUCCUCGAUAUAGAAAGCAGCACAAUGUGAAUGCACUUAAUACAACCAUACAUCCAAAACCAGAUAGUGGAACAUGUACACACCUAUUCUACCACAUCUUAAAAACUAAAUAUUUAACUCGCUCACUGGAGGUACAGGGAUUCUGUGUGUAUGUCACAACUGACAGGUGACAGCAGCGAAAGACACCUGGCUUUGAUCUCGGACCACACGGGACUGAGCAACAAAAGUCAUUGUGCCCACCAGUACCGGAGUGUGCACCGGAACGCACGUGUGUCUGGCCAUGGCAUUUCCUGGAUCCCCAGGCUCAGAGAUGCUCUCAAGUUUCUAUUCCCACAGUGAAGAACGUUCUUCCUCUCUUACCAUAGUCUCUCAGUUGGACCCUCCAGAAAGAGAACUAGUAUAUGAGAGAUGCAAGGAUUCUCUCAAUGUUUGACUAAAUUGGCUGCAGGGAUGAGCGCAGGCAAAAUUCAUGGCUACCCCUUCAAGGGCCAAAGAGUCACCCAUUUACUCUCCCUCACCACCCAAAUCCUUGAGGUACACCUGGUGGAGCCAGGUAAAACACCCUGAUAUAAAUGUCCAGACCAUUCCCCUAACACCAAAUGAUGAGAGGAGACCUAGACUCGGCAAGCAAAACUCCCUUCUUCCUUCCUCAAGGGGCCCUUAGUAUUUUAAAGGUGAGAGGGACGAAAACCUGAUUCCAAGGCUGAGUCCCCAAAACCCGAAGGCUGCAGAAACAUGUCCCCAAAGCUGAUCCUGGCCAGCUGACUUGUUUCUGUUGACAUUCCUGCAUUUUGACUUUCUGUGGCAUUUACAAAAUUAGCUGCCAACAUUUAAAAGGUGCGGAGUUCAUACACAGGGAGAAAUAUUUUCUGAUGCUCUUGUAUCACGGGAUAACAACUCCAGCGACUGUGCUGAUUUAACCUGACCAUCUACUUGAAUAGGUGGAGAAACACUUGGAAGCUGGGAGAGCACGGCUCCUGGUCCCAAAUUAGACCUAUUCAAUGCGCCCUUGAUGCAGUCAUAAUGCGAUGGCCUCACUGGGAAAUGAUGAGCAGAGGCUUUCCUAGAAGCAGAUUCCUGGGUGUGCACCCUUGCAGGCAUCUUGCCCCAGCCCCUUCCUGUAUUCACCCUUUCUCUGCUUCCUUCAUGCCACAGGCUGAACAGCUGUUCACUGCCACACGUUUCUGCCACCAUUGCGGCUCAAGUACACAGAACCACGUGGCCAAGGAGGAACCCUCUGAAACUGUGUGUGUGUGUCCUGGAAACGAACGAGCAGCCUCCAUCUACAAGGAAAAGAAGUUAAAGUCUGGACACAAAGAGACCAAGCGGCCUCUGCCACCCAGUAAGCACUCGAGCCCAACAGGCAACCAUCAUCUUGGGAUUUUAUAAGUUUGUUCCAGAAACAACUUUAGCAGACACACAACAAAGCCCUUAACAGAAACCUAACAAAAACUAGAACACUAAGACCAAACCAAAGAAAUCACAUGCCGGAAGCCUAAAAAGAAAGACUAGAGAAUGGGGCUGAGCCACAGGCGCGCAGCCCAAGAAGCCCUACACAUCAUCUCAAGGUGGCCGGAAAUCUGGAGUCUAAACUCCGACCUGAUCAUCUGAAAGAGGAAAAUAAGAUCAGCUACUAAGUCCGCCACAUCCAUUAAAGGAAGGGGGCAAGGGAGAGGGCAAACAGGGGGGAGGAAGAGAAGGAAGCAGUGGCAGCGUGAGCUACAAAGGGUAACCCUCAUAAAAAACUACGUGCUUUCAAAAGCCCCCUGGCACCCCAAAUCUUCAUUCCAUCACUCUCCCCUGGCCUGAGGUCAGGGACUGUGCAAUGUGGGUUCGCAUAACACAGAGGGACUGAGAAACGGGGGCCUACUAAAAAUGUCACUCCAAUUAUUUCUCAUCCCUCUAGGGCUGUUUAUAGGAAACAAUAUUGAGUUUAAUAGCAUAUUAAAUGCCAAGCUCUGUGGGUGAAAGGUUAAAAGUGCCAACGUGUUAAUACACUAAUGCAAAGGGAGGGUACUAAAUUACAUAGGAGGGGCUCUUCCCCCCCCACCAUACACAUACAGAGAGAGAGAGAGAGAGAGAGAGAGAGAGAGAGAGAGAGAGAGAGAGAGAGAACGCUCCAGUACAGCUUUAACUACAACAUGGUGUAAAACACAAAAUCAGAGAUGUUGAAUGCACUCACCCAGCCAUACCAAAACCAGAACCAUCCCACCACAUCCACUUUCUCAUGUAACCUAAUGUUACAAAGACACCAAGAAUGCCAGCGAAAUUGCUGUUUCCGUGAAGCAGUCAGGAUGCAGAGUCCUUUCCGAGGUAAGCUGUGGGCCAAUGAAUUACCCUUGGGUAAAGAACGUCCCCAGUACCAACAAUAGUGACGACGAAUGCCAUCAGGUGCUUGCUUUAUUCCUUCAACAGCCCUGUAAGCGCCGACACUGUAAUAGACAGACACGGAAACGAGCCGGCCCAUGGAGGGGGCUAGAAGGAAUGUCUGUCUGUAAAGGACUCUCUUCCGGUUCACAGAGCUGUCAUUCUUGAGCCUGUUUGACCGCCACUGCCCAAAUCACAGCCUUACUCAAGUGCCCACCUUCAAGUUUAAAGCACAGUGCAGCUUCUCUACCCCUGAAAAUGGAAGUCUGGGUGUCCUCCCUGCCUCACGGGCAAGAAAAGUCCUUAGCCACCCCCAGGCACUGGCACACCAGGGCUUCAAAAUGCACAGUCGCUUUCGCUGGAAGUGGAUGGCAGCCACCAAAGAAAGAAACCAAAAACCGAGAUGAAAGGGACCACAUUGUUGGAUCCUCCACUCCAGCUCAUUCUGACUUGCUCCUCGACAGACACAUCAGCGUAACGGGUCUUGUACGAUGCUGUGUGGGUACACUAUGCAAGACCAGGGGCACGAGAAACUAACUCAUGGCAGCGAAAGCCCUGUGAACCUUUGGGGUCCUGCCCAAGAGUCCAAAACGCAGAGCGGCACAGGUCCCACAGCUGAAAGCACAGAUACUCAUUCAUUGAAAGUACUGAGCUAUGGCUUGAGAGCCAUCCUGCUGAGGCUGGGGAGCUUGCCUCCUUCCCAAGCUUGGCCCCCAUCACAGGAAGUCAAAUGGUUCCAGCAAGCUGUCCUGAAAUUGGUUUCACGUCUUUCUGCUUAAGGCGGUGAAUAGGAAAACUUCAGCAAGACAGGAAAACACUGGAAAAUUACACUCAACUGGUGAGGAAGAGAUUUAAGGGGGAAAACGUUCCUUAGCUCUCUUUUCUGGAGCGCCCCAAGCUUCUGCUUCCGGCACAGAUCUUGGUGGAUCUACCAUCACCUGUGGGCACAAUGGUCAUGGCAGAACACAGUGUCUGAAGCCUGCAACUCCUUGCAGCUCCGCAGAAGACAGACUGCUGGGACAAACAUGCUUUUCAUUUUGGCUUUCUGCAAGCCACCGUUCUGGAUGACCGGAAAGGGGUGAGUGGCUGGGACACAGGGGACACAGUUCUGACAGUACCUUUCUGUGUGGCUUGUGAGCAACAUCUGGGGAUUCUGGUUCAGUGGCUGAAAGGCCGCCUUGCUACGAGCAUGGGGCAAAGCCAAGCAGACAGACCCCACAGGUUCUCUAUGUUCACGAUGUUGACCAGAAAAGCUGUUACCAGGCGUGGAGCCAUAGACUAAGGCUUGAUGGUGUGGGUGGGGAAGACUUGGCUGCCGCAGUGGCUAUGACAACGUUAUGACACUGAUUUAUACCCAUCAGGCCAAACUCUAAACUAUAUGAGGAUAAAAAGGAAUUUAUACCAGAGCACAAGGAGAGGUGUUUAGUUGGUGGUUUUAGGAGCUUGCUAUGUAGCCCAGGCUGGCCUCAGGGCCUUGAACUCACCAUCCUCCUGCCUAGGCCUCUGGAAUGCUGGCUUUAGAGGACAUCAUACCUGCCUUAUGCAGAGCUUUUGAUACUUUUUAACUUUUUCUCUUUUAUGUAACUGUUUGUCUGUCUGUCUGUCUGUCUGUCUGUCUGUAUGUGUACCAUGUAUAUGCCUGUUGCCUGCAGAGGCCAGAAGAAGUUACCAGACCCUCUGGAGCCAGAAUAA